GUUCUAUUUGUUAAGAGAACGUUUGCAGUUAAGGUCGGCAGUGUUAGCAGGACAGAUCAGAGCAACAGAGGAGUGGGUAGAAAAUGGAAGAGAAUGUGGCCUAGUUCACUGCCUGCCAAAGCUGGACCGGGGGGUCCUCUAAAGGAUGGGCCAUCAGCAAUCGCUUGUGAAUGAGAAGCCCAUCAGACAUGAUUGAAUCCUUCCCACAUGGAACCCAGAAUCUCUUGGGUCCCUUUGAACUGCAAACAGCUUCAGGACUGACCCAGACUGCAAGGCCCUGGGUUCAGGCUCCCAGUGGGGGAGCCAGAGUUCAGAGGCAGCCACCAGCAGUCUAGGCCACCCCCUUCCAUGCCAACCCCUCCUCUGAUCUGACUAGGCUGAGGCCACCAGGCAGAAGCAAGUGGAACUAAAUCAAUCUUCUUUGGGUCCAACUCUGCCCUUUUCAUAGUUAUGCUGCCAUUAACGUACUGUCCUUGAAACAUUCUUCAUGGUUAUUAAUUACCCUUUGUUUAUUUUAAUAUAUUUGCUAAAUCAGGUACCCAAGGGAGUCCUCUACAUCAGUGAUGUGAAAAGUCCAGUUGCCUGAAGUCAAAGAGAUGCUGCAAGAUGACCCACAUUGGCACCAGGCUUCGGAGAGACAACAGGGAACCACAAGGGAUCACUUUCAGAGGAGUGCCAAUCUGAAAGAGAGGUGUCCACACUGGGGACAUGGCCAGUGUAAUCAAAGCUGCACUUCCCUGGCCAUGCCAAGGGCCAGGCAGAGAAUCAACUAAGUUCAGUCCUUGCUGAAGCCACCCAAGUUCCUCCCUUGAAGUUGAUAUUAAUGACCUGCAGUUGUUGAGUGUCUUAGAGCUCCAACAUGCUUUAAAAAAAAAAAAAAAAACUGGAACUUUCUUAAAAAUGCAGAAGGCUACCUUGCAGAGUGGGGCAGCCCCAACCUGAGGUGGGACUGACACCCACUGUUCUGGCCUUGACUGAGUUUACCCAGCCAGAAGGGGAAGAGUCUCUGCAACACCGACCAUGCAGGAGCAGAUGCCCCCCUGGAGAAGUGUGCACCAGGCCUGACCCACCGUGACUGGCCAGUAGACGACAAUUCUUCAGCUGACCUGGCUACUCAGCGUCAACCUGUGAAACAGCUGGCAACAGCCACCAUCGCCCCAGCUGGGUGUGCUUUGCAUGUAUUAGUGUCUUUAUUCUUUGAAACUUCCUUCCAAAGUGAGUGAUACUAUUCUUGUUUUGCAGAUGAUAAAACUAGGCCAAGACGGUGUGAAGGCAGAGGGGUGUAAUUAUUUCUUUUCUAAAUCAUGACACACGCUUGUGGACAUCCCACCCUCCUGGAGUGCAUACUAGUAACUGGUUUCUGAACAUUCAUAUCCCAAGAGGCUUCAGGGGUGUAGACAGGGAGGUGUGAGAUUCGGAGCCCUCAGACUCUCGGAUCUAGACCUGCCUGCUCUGUCUUGCCCCAGCCCACCUUUGAUGAGCGGCCCUCCCCGGGAGUACCCAGCACCCCAGGGCCUGAUGGGAGGCUGGGGUAUCUGACGGGCAUUGCUUCCUGAGGGGGCUGUAGGGAAGUCCCAAGACAGAAAGGGACUUCGCACCGUGGAGCCGUUAAAAUGAAACGACCUUUUCCAGAACGAUACAGGACUCUCCAUUGUCAAGGCCAUCCAGGUAGCCGAGGACCAAUUAAUGGUCCCAGGAGACAUCAUGCUGGAAUCCUGUCCUGCAGAAUUGUUUGAAGAUGCAUCUGUAAACCCAGAGAUUCAAGAUCAACCACCAACGUGUUCCCUGACACCCCCCCCCAAACACACACACACACUCACAGGGGUGGUUUUACCUUGCUAUGUCUUAAGUUCCUUUUCUCUCUGAGUCUGAGAUAUGAGUAAUUCAUUACACAAUUGGAUUUUACGGUUUGUUUAUGUUGAUUCCGAUUACAGAAUAAAUGACUACCUGGAGUAUAUAGAAAAAAAAGACUAAUGAAAAAACAAGCAUCAAUCAAGAACAUUUAUGAAUAAAGACUUUAAACAUCCAUACUUAGAAAUAUAUAUGAUAUUUAGAAAUAGAUCUGAAAAGACUUAUGUAAUGUGUUUUAAUCAAAUCUUGAAGAGAAAUUGACCAAUAAAUCAAAUCUUGAAAAGAAA